rnacentral:rRNA from 1 species
GACGAACGCUGGCGGCGUGCUUAACACAUGCAAGUCGAACGGAAAGGCCCUGCUUUUGUGGGGUGCUCGAGUGGCGAACGGGUGAGUAACACGUGAGUAACCUGCCCUUGACUUUGGGAUAACUUCAGGAAACUGGGGCUAAUACCGGAUAGGAGCUCCUGCUGCAUGGUGGGGGUUGGAAAGUUUCGGCGGUUGGGGAUGGACUCGCGGCUUAUCAGCUUGUUGGUGGGGUAGUGGCUUACCAAGGCUUUGACGGGUAGCCGGCCUGAGAGGGUGACCGGCCACAUUGGGACUGAGAUACGGCCCAGACUGCUACGGGAGGCAGCAGUGGGGAAUAUUGCACAAUGGGCGGAAGCCUGAUGCAGCAACGCCGCGUGCGGGAUGACGUCCUUCGGGUGGUAAACCGCUUUCGCCUGUGACGAAGCGUGAGUGACGGUAAUGGGUAAAGAAGCACCGGCUAACUACGUG